AUACUAGUAAGCAGCGCGUAAGAUGGCUAUCAGCUUUUACCAGUUGGAUAACGAGGGAAAGAGUUGUGGAUGGCAGUGGGCAGGGAUGGGCUGAAUGCCCCGUCUCCUCCAACCAAAGAAAAAUAAAAUUACAACAAAGCUCUCUUCCUUGAAGAAAAGCCGUCAAUCCAAAGGUCACUCAACCAAAUAAUAUGCAUCUAAUGGAAGACUCAUUUGGCACUUGCUGUCUUUUUAGUCAUCA